UCAAUAACCAAUAGCGGGACCUGGAUGCCCAUAUUGGUUCCUACAUAUUCUACGAAGAUCUUUAUCGGUCAGACCGCAUAACAACAUACGUUGUUCCCUUUGUCAUCGGUAUGUUACUUGCCCGAGAUUCGAUCGUCGGUAUCCAAUACCUAGUUCAAUCUCGUUACCGGCAAGUCUCUUUACUCGUUCCGUAAUACAUCAUCUCGCAACUAACUCAUUAGUUACAAUGCUUGCAAGGCUUAAGUGAUGUGCAUUACCGAGAGGGCCCAGAGAUACCUCUCCGAUAUUCGGAGUGACAAAUCCUAAUCUCGAAAUAUGCCAACCCAACAAGUACCAUCGGAGACACCUGUAGAGCACCUUUAUAAUCACCCAGUUACGUUGUGACGUUUGGUAGCACACAAAGUGUUCCUCCGGUAAACGGGAGUUGCAUAAUCUCAUAGUCAUAGGAACAUGUAUAAGUCAUGAAGAAAGCAAUAGCAACAUACUAAACGAUCGGGUGCUAAGCUAACUGAAUGGGUCAUGUCAAUCAGAUCAUUCAACUAAUGAUGUGAUCCCGUUAAUCAAAUAACAACUCUUUGUCCAUGGUUAGGAAACAUAACCAUCUUUGAUUAACAAGCUAGUCAAGUAGAGGCAUACUAGUGACACUCUGUUUGUCUAUAUAUUCACACAUGUAUUAUGUUUCUGGUUAAUACAAUUCUAGCAUGAAUAAUAAACAUUUAUCAUGAUAUAAGGAAAUAAAUAAUAACUUUAUUAUUGCCUCUAGGGCAUAUUUCCUUCAGUCUCCCACUUGCACUAGAGUCAAUAAUCUAGAUCACAUCACCAUGUGAUUAACAUCGAUAGUUCACAUCAUCAUGUGAUUAACACCCAUAGUUCACAUCGCCAUGUGACCAACUUCCAAAGGGUUUACUAGAUUCAGUAAUCUAGUUCACAUCCCUAUGUGAUUAACACCCAAAGAGUACUAAGGUGUGAUCAUGUUUUGCUUGUGAGAGAAUCUUAGUCAACGGGUCUUUCACAUUCAGAUCCGUUAUGUAUUUUGCAAUUUUUUAUGUCUACAAUGCUCUGCACGGAGCUACUCUAGCUAAUUGCUCCCACUUUCAAUAUGUAUCUAGAUCGAGACUUAGAGUCAUCCAGAUCGGUGUCAAAACUUGCAUCGACGUAACCCUUUACGACGAACCUUUUGUCACUUCCAUAAUCGAGAAACAUAUCCUUAUUCCACUAAGGAUAAUUUUGACCGCUGUCCAGUGAUCUACUCCUAGAUCACUAUUGUACUCCCUUGCCAAACUCAGUGCAGGGUAUACAAUAGAUCUGGUACACAGCAUGGCAUACUUUAUAGAACCUAUGGCCAAGGCAUAGGGAAUGACUUUCAUUCUCUUUCUAUCUUCUGUCGUGGUCGGGUUUUGAGUCUUACUCAAUUUCACACCUUGUAACACAGGCAAGAACUCUUUCUUUGACUGUUCCAUUUUGAACUACUUCAAAAUCUUGUCAAGGUAUGUACUCAUUGAAAAAACUUAUCAAGCGUCUUGAUCUAUCUCUAUAGAUCUUGAUACCGAAUAUCUAAGCAGCUUCACCGAGGUCUUUCUUUGAAAAACUCCUUUCAAACACUCCUUUAUGCUUUGCAGAAUAAUUCUACAUUAUUUCCGAUCUACAAUAUGUCAUUCACAUAUACUUAUCAGAAAUGCUGUAGUGCUCCCACUCACUUUCUAGUAAAUACAGGCUUCACCGCAAGUCUGUAUAAAACUAUAUGCUUUGAUCAACUUAUCAAAGCGUAUAUUCCAACUCCGAGAUGCUUGCACCAGUCCAUAGAUGGAUCGCUGGAGCUUGCGUAUUUUUUCAGCACCUUUAGGAUUGACAAAACCUUCUGGUUGCAUCAUAUACAACUCUUCUUUAAAUCCAUUAAGGAAUGUAGUUUUGUUUAUCCAUUUGCCAGAUUUCAUAAAAUGCGGCAAUUGCUAACAUGAUUCGGACAGACUUAAGCAUCGCUACGGGUGAGAAGGUCUCAUCGUAGUCAAUCCCUUGAACUUGUCGGAAACCUUUUGCAACAAGUCGAGCUUUAUAGACAGUAACAUUACUGUCAGCGUCAGUCUUCUUCUUGAAGAUCCAUUUAUUCUCAAUUGCUUGCUGACCAUCGGGCAAGUCAACCAAAGUCCAUACUUUGUUCUCAUACAUGGAUCCCAUCUCAGAUUUCAUGGCUUCAAGCCAUUUUGCGGAAUCUGGGCUCACCAUCGCUUCUUCAUAGUUCAUAGGUUCAUCAUGAUCUAGUAGCAUGACUUCCAGAAUAGGAUUACCGUACCACUCAGGUGCGGAUCUUACUCUGUUUGACCUACGAGGUUCUGUAGUAACUUGAUUUGAAGUUCUAUGAUCAUCAUCAUCAAAUUUCUCACUAGUUGGUUUUGACGUCACAGAAACCGGUUCCUGUGAUGUACUAUUUUCCAACAAGGGAGCAGGUACAGUUACCUCAUCAAGUUAUACUUUCCUCCCACUCACUUCUUUCGAGAGAAACUCCUUCUCUAGAAAGGAUCCAUUUUUAGCAACGAAUAUCUUGCCUUCGGAUCUGUGAUAGAAGGUGUACCCAACAAUUUCCUUUGGGUAUUCUAUGAAGACGCACUUCUCCGAUUUGGGUUUGAGCUUAUCAGGAUGAAAAACUUUUUCACAUAAGCAUCGUAGCCCCAAACUUUAAGAAAUGACAACUUGGGUUUCUUGCUAAACCACAGUUCAUAUAGUGUCGUCUCAACAGAUUUAGAUGGUGCCCUUUUAACGUGAAUGCAGCUGUCUCUAAUGCAUAACCCCAAAACAAUAUUGGUGAAUCGGUAAGAAACAUCAUAGAUUGUACUAUAUCCAAUAAAGCACGGUUAUGACGUUCGGACACACAAUUAUGAUGUGGUGUUCUAGGUGGCAUGAAUUUGUGAAACUAUUCCACAUUGUUUUAAUUGAAGACCAAACUCGUAACUCAAAUAUUGUCUCCGCGAUCAGAUCGUAGAAACUUUAUUUUUCUUGUUACAAUGAUUUCCACUUCACUAUGAAAUUCUUUGAACCUUUCAACUAUUUCAGACUUAUGUUUCAUCAAGUAGAUAUACCCAUAUCUGCUCAAAUCAUCUUGUGAAGGUCAGAAAAUAACGAUACCCGCCGCGAGCCUUAACACUCAUCGGAUCGCAUAGAUUAGUAUGUAUUAUUUCCAAUAAGUUAGUUGCUCGCUCCACUGUUCCGGAGAACGGAGUCUUAGUCAUCUUGCCCAUGAGGCAUGGUUCGCAAGCAUCAAGUGAUUCAUAAUCAAGUGAUUCCAAAAUCCCAUCAGCAUGGAGUUUCUUCAUGCGCUUUACACUGAUAUGACCUAAACGGCAGUGCCACAAAUAAGUUGUACUAUCAUUAUUAACUUUGCAUCUUUUGGUUUCAAUAUUAUGAAUAUGUGUAUCACUACGAUUGAGAUCCAAUGAACCAUUUUCAUUGGGUGUGUAACCAUAUAAGGUUUUAUUCAUGUAAACAGAACAACAGUUUAUUCUCUUACUUAAAUGAAUAACCGUAUUGCAAUAAACACAAUCAAAUCAUAUUCAUGCUCAACGCAAACACCAAAUAACAUUUAUUUAGGUUCAACACUAAUCCCGAAAGUAUAGGGAGUGUGCGAUGAUGAUCAUAUCAAUCUUGAAACUACUUUCAACACACAUCGUCACUUCACCCUUAACUAGUUUCUGUUUAUUCUGCAACUCCCGUUUCGAGUUACUACUCUUAGCAACUGAACCAGUACCAAAUACCGAGGGGUUGCUAUAAACACUAGUAAGGCACACAUCAAACACAUGUAUAUCAAAUAUACCCUUUUUCACUUUGCCAUCCUUCUUAUUCACCAAAUAUUUAGGGUAUUUCCGCUUCCAGUGACCAUUUCCUUUGCAGUGUAAGCACUCAGUUUCAGGCUUUGGUUCAGCUUUGGGCUUCUUCGUGGGAGUGACAACUUGCUUGUUAAUCUACUUGAAGUUCCCCUUUCUUUCCCUUUGCCCUUUUCUUGAAACUAGUGAUCUUGUCAACCAUCAACACUUGAUGCUUUUUCUUGAUUUCUACCUUCGUCGAUUUCAACAUCACGAAGAGCUCGGGAAUCAUUUUCGUCAUCCCUUGCAUACUAUAGUUCAUCACGAAGUUCUACUAACUUGGUGAUGGUGACUAGAGAACUCUGUCAAUCACUAUCUUAUCUGGAAGAUUAGCUCCCACUUGAUUCAAACGAUUGUAGUACCCAGACAAUCUGAGCACUUGGUCACUAGUUGAGCGAUUCUCCUCCAUCUUUUAGCUAUAGAACUUGUUGGAGACUUCAUAUCUCUCAACUCGGGUAUUUGCUUGUAAUAUUAACUUCAGUUCUUGGAACAUCUCAUAUGGUCCAUGACGUUCAAAACGUCUUUGAAGUCCCGAUUCUAAGCCGUUAAGCAUGGUGCACUAAACUGUCAAGUAGUCAUCAUAUUGAGCUAGCCAAACGUUCAUAACGUCUGCAUUUGCUUCUGCAAUAGGUCUGUCACCUAGCGGUGCAUCAAGGACAUAAUACUUCUGUGCAGCAAUGAGGAUAAACCUCAGAUCACCGAUCCAAUCCGCAUCAUUGCUACUAACAUCUUUCAACACAGUUUUCUCCAGGAACAUAUCAAAAUAAACAUAUGAAAGCAACAACGCGAGCUAUUGAUCAACAUAAUUUGCAAAAUACUACCAGGACUAAGUUCAUGAUAAAUUUAAGUUCAAUUAAUCAUAUUACUUAAGAACUCCCACUUAGACAGACAUCUCUCUAGUCAUCUAAGUGAUCACGUGAUCCAAAUCAACUAAACCAUAACCGAUCAUCACGUGAGAUGGAGUAGUUUUCAAUGGUGAACAUCACUAUGUUGAUCAUAUCUACUAUAUGAUUCACGCUUGACCUUUCGGUCUCCGUGUUCCGAGGCCAUAUCUGCAUUUGCUAGGCUCGUCAAGUUUAACCUGAGUAUUCUGCGUGUGCAAAACUGGCUUGCACCCGUUGUAGAUGGACGUAGAGCUUAUCACACCCGAUCAUCACGUGGUGUCUGGGCACGACGAACUUUGGCAACGGUGCAUACUCAGGGAGAACACUUCUUGAUAAUUUUUAAUGAGAGAUCAUCUUAAAAUGCUACCGUCAAUCAAAGCAAGAUAAGAUGCAUAAAAGAUAAACAUCACAUGCAAUCAAUAUAAGUGAUAUGAUAUGGCCAUCAUCAUCUUGUGCUUGUGAUCUCCAUCUCCGAAGCAUCAUCAUGAUCACCAUCGUCACCGGCGCGACACCUUGAUCUCCAUCGUAGCAUCGUUGUCGUUUACGCCAUCUAUUGCUUCUACGACUAUUGCUACCGCUUAGUGAUAAAGUAAAGCAAUUACAGGGCGUUUGCAUUUCAUACAAUAAAGCGACAACCAUAUGGCUCCUGCCAGUUGCCGAUAACUUCGGUUAUAAAACAUGAUCAUCUCAUACAAUAAAAUAUAGCAUCAUGUCUUGGCCAUAUCACAUCACAACAUGCCCUGCAAAAACAAGUUAGACGUCCUCUACUUUGUUGUUGCAAGUUUUACGUGGCUGCUACGGGCUUAAGCAAGAACCAGUCUCACCUACGCAUCAAAACCACAACGAUAGUUUGUCAAGUUGAUGCUGUUUUAACCUUCGCAAGGACCGGGCGUAGCCACACUCGGUUCAAAUAAAGUUGGAGAAACUGACACCUGCUAGUCACCUGUGUGCAAAGCACGGCGGUAAAACCAGUCUCGCGUAAGCGUACGCGUAAUGUCGGUCCGGGCCGCUUCAUCCAACAAUACCGCCGAACCAAAGUAUGACAUGCUGGUAAGCAGUAUGACUUAUAUCGCCCACAACUCACUUGUGUUCUACUCGUGCAUAUAACAUCAAACCAUAAAAACCUAGGCUCAGAUGCCACUGUUGGGGAACGUAGUAAUUUCAAAAUUUUUCCUACGCACACGCAAGAUCAUGGUGAUGCAUAGCAACGAGAGGGGAGAGUGUUGUCUACGUACCCUCGUAGACCGAAGCGGAAGCAUUGACGCAACGUAGAGGAAGUAGUCGUACGUCCUCCCGGUCCAACCGAUCCAAGCACCGUUACUCCGACACCUCCGAGUUCUUGACACACGUACAACUCGAUGACGCACCCCGAUCUCCGAUCCAGCAGAGGCGCGGGGAGGAGUUCCGUCAGCACGACGGUGUGGUGACGAUCUUGAUGUUCUCCUGUCGCAGGGCUUCGCCUAAGCACCGCUACAAUAUGACCGAGGUGUAAUAUCGUGGAGGGGGGCACCGCACACGGCUAAGGAACGAUCUCAAUGAUCAACUUGUGUGUCCAUGGCGUGCCCCCUACCCCCGUAUAUAAAGGAGAGGAGGAGGGGAGGGCCGGCCCUCUACUAUGGCGCGUCCUGGGGAGUCCUACUCCCACCGGGAGUAGGAUUCCCCCUUUCCUAGUCCAAUAGGAGACCUUCCAUGUAUUAGGAGUAGGAGACUAGGAAGGGGAAGAGAGAAGGGAAGGAAGGAGGGGGUGCGGCCCCUCCCCCUAGUCCAAUUCGGACUAGGCCAUGGGGGGGGGGGGCGCGGCCUGCCCUAGGCAGCCCCUCUCUCUUUCCCGCAGGGCCCAAUAAGGCCCAAUACUUCUCCCCGGUGAAUUCCCGUAACUCUCCGGUACUCCGAAAAAUACCCGAAUCACUCGGAACCUUUCCGAACUCAGAAUAUAGUCGUCCAAUAUAUCGAUCUUUACGUCUCGACCAUUUCGAGACUCCUCGUCAUGUCCCCGAUCUCAUCCGGGACUCCGAACUCCUUCGGUUCAUCAAAACUCAUAAACUCAUAAUAUAACUGUCAUCGAAACCUUAAGCGUGCGGACCCUACGGUUCGAGAACAAUGUAGACAUGACCGAGACACGUCUCCGGUCAAUAACCAAUAGCGGGACCUGGAUGCCCAUAUUGGUUCCUACAUAUUCUACGAAGAUCUUUAUCGGUCAGACCGCAUAACAACAUACGUUGUUCCCUUUGUCAUCGGUAUGUUACUUGCCCGAGAUUCGAUCGUCGGUAUCCAAUACCUAGUUCAAUCUCGUUACCGGCAAGUCUCUUUACUCGUUCCGUAAUACAUCAUCUCGCAACUAACUCAUUAGUUACAAUGCUUGCAAGGCUUAAGUGAUGUGCAUUACCGAGAGGGCCCAGAGAUACCUCUCCGACAUUCGGAGUGACAAAUCCUAAUCUCGAAAUACGCCAACCCAACAAGUACCAUCGGAGACACCUGUAGAGCACCUUUAUAAUCACCCAGUUACGUUGUGACGUUUGGUAGCACACAAAGU
rnacentral:lncRNA from 1 species